ACAAAGAGACAAAGAGACAAAGAGGAAUGACUCCAAACAGGAAAACCUCGACCACGACAGACUGAGGCAGCCGUCUGCCUCGAGUGACACCUGGUUCGCUGUUUGUGUGCAGCUCUGUCUCUUAUGUGAGGACAGUGGACAUGUCCUCAUAAGUGUAGACGCACUAGUCCCUCUUCUCUCCGUACGAUAUGAUACGACACUGCAGUAUUUUCUGCUCGAGUCCCUGCAGAUCAGCCGACAGGCUGACGGGUGGUGGUGCUGGUGUGUCUGGAGGGAGACAGUCUGCGUGAGACGUCUGUCAUCAUUUUGUCGGGGCUGUAUAAAUGCAAAAAUCUGGCUGCUUCGUCUUCUGCUAACGUCCGUUAACCAGACGGCGAGCCCCGAGCAGACACAGAGGGCCGCGGGUCGACGGGCGGGAGGAUGCUGGAUGUCGUGUCACGGAGACGGUAGCUGUCACUUUGUGGACCAGUCUCAAAAUGCUGCAGGGUCAGUCUGUCUGAGCAGGACUACACAAACACUGCUGGCUGCCACCACGAGGAAACUUUAUUUCCUGCAGGACAGAGACAGAGGUGGACAAGGACGGACAGUCUGCUGUUCCCUGUCCAACACUUGUUAAUCAUCACAAUCCUUCAGAGUGACCUUUGGCCAACAUGACAGACAAACUGUCUUUUAACGGAGACGGACGCUGCAUUCUCCUCCCAGUCUGUCUCUGGCACAGCAGGAUCUUAUAUCAGCUGAUUGACAGCAGCUUGGUUUGGUCAGCCCCAAAGAUCCUCAGACACGAAUCCGGAAGAAGAGCAGACAAUGCAGGAGACAUUGGUCACAGAUGAAGGAAGUGAAGGAGACUUCUUUGUCCUGUGUCUCCUCCAUGUGGACAUUUGGUUUUACUGCAUGCUGCCGCCUCAUUUAUGUCCCAGCAACAUUAACGUGGAGUUAUUUUUGUUUCAAACUUAAUUUCUGAAUUAGUUUUCUGGUCAAGGUGACAGCAGGCGUGAGGAAAUGACUCUGGACAUACGUCUGCUGUAGGUGAACACAUUUUCACUAUAAAGACAGACAGCGGACGGUCUUGGAUUCAAGAACCAACAACGCCAUGGACGUUCUUCUCUUCACCACGAGCUCCAGGAUCUGACCUGGGUCUGAACACAGGAAGUGUUUUCACCUUUCCUCCAUGAUGUUAUCCAGACACAAAGAACGUUCAGCCUCAGUGUUUCUUGUGUUGGACUUUGGAUCAUUGGAUUUAUGUUGGAUUAGUUUGUUUUUACCUGAUUAAAGUUCUGUUCACUCUG